rfam:Heterocephalus glaber contig60822, whole genome shotgun sequence.
GGGGAUAUAGCUCAGCGGUGCAGCACCUGCCUGGCAAGUGCGAGGCCCUGGGUUCGAUUCCCGGUACCA